rnacentral:rRNA from 1 species
UACGUAGGGGGCAAGCGUUGUCCGGAAUUAUUGGGCGUAAAGCGCGCGCAGGCGGCCUUGUAAGUCUGUUGUUUAAACUUGGGGCUCAACCCCAAGUCGCAAUGGAAACUGCAAAGCUUGAGUGCAGAAGAGGAAAGUGGAAUUCCACGUGUAGCGGUGAAAUGCGUAGAGAUCGGGAAGAACAUCAGUGGCGAAGGCGGUCUGCUGGGCCGUUGCUGACGCUGAGGCGCGACAGCGUGGGGAGCAAACAGG